UUGAUGCUCCAGACUUCAGCACUGCCUC
rnacentral:piRNA from 1 species